AAAUUGAAGAGUUUGAUCAUGGCUCAGAUUGAACGCUGGCGGCAGGCCUAACACAUGCAAGUCGAGCGGUAACACAGAGGAGCUUGCUCCUUGGGUGACGAGCGGCGGACGGGUGAGUAAUGCCUGGGGAUCUGCCCGAUAGAGGGGGAUAACUACGGGAAACUGUAGCUAAUACCGCAUAAUGUCUACGGACCAAAGUGGGGGCUCUUCGGACCUCAUGCUAUCGGAUGAACCCAGGUGGGAUUAGCUAGUUGGUGAGGUAAUGGCUCACCAAGGCGACGAUCUCUAACUGGUUUGAGAGAAUGACCAGUCACACUGGAACUGAGACACGGUCCAGACUCCUACGGGAGGCAGCAGUGGGGAAUAUUGCACAAUGGGCGCAAGCCUGAUGCAGCCAUGCCGCGUGUGUGAAGAAGGCCUUCGGGUUGUAAAGCACUUUCAGCGGGGAGGAAGGGUCACUAGUUAAUACCUAGUGGCAUUGACGUUAC
rnacentral:rRNA from 1 species